CCUACGUGAGGCAGCAGUGAGGAAUAUUGGUCAAUGGUCGAAAGCCUGAACCAGCCAAGCCGCGUGAGGGAUGAAGGUACUCAGAUUCGUAAACUGCUUUUGUACGGGGGUAAAGGCAGUGACGUGUCCCUGUCUGAAUGUACCGUACGAAUAAGGAUCGGCUAACUCCGUGCCAGCAGCCGCGGUAAUACGGAGGAUUCGAGCGUUAUCCGGAUUUAUAGGGGUUAAAGGGUGCGUAGGCGGUCGGUUAAGUUAGGGGGUAAAUCCAGGGGCUCAACGUCGGAAUUGCCUUUGAUUCUGGCAGUCGAGAGAGUGAUAGAGGUAGGCGGAAGGUAUGGUGUAGCGGUGAAAUGCGUAGAGAUCGUGCAGAACACCGAUUGCGAAGGCAGCUUGCC
rnacentral:rRNA from 1 species